rnacentral:rRNA from 1 species
AUGCCUCCGCCUCCGCCGGAUCGGAGGGAGUUCCUCUACAGGGACGGGCGCAGGCACGACGCGGCCGCCGGGGACCCACUCCUGCCGGCGCCCCCCGCCACGCCGCGCUGGAGGGACUCCCCGUACCACCCACCACCGCCGCCGCCGCCGCCCCUGCGCGACCACGCCCGGCCCUCGCCUCGCAGGACCGCGUCUUCGGCCUCCUCAGAGGGCUAUUACAGGCAGGGCGCCGGCACCUAUGACCGCUCCUACCCCGACGAGCCGCUGGGCUACACGCCCUCGCGCUCCGACCGCUACUGGCUGGAGGAAGACCCUCCCACCGGCUAUAAGGGUUUCAGCCGCUAUGGUGGCGGCGGCGGCCGGAGGGACGGCCGUGACUUGCGGGGAUCCUACCGGAGGUCUCCGUUUAGGAGCUACGGGGGCGACUUCCCAAGGGGCCACCAGGAGCCCCCGCCUCCCCCACCGUCGAGGAGGUCUCCUCUGAGGUCAGUUGCUGUGCCGAUCUGUUACGACCCUCCCAGUGAUAGGGCUGACAGGGAGGAUAGAGAACACCAACCCCGUGCGACUCCUUGGCGGCCCCUGCGCCGGAGGGAGAGCAGAUCUGACGGUGCAGACGCAGCUGGCGCUGGACCUUUGUCAGCUCGUCAGAGCGCUACUGCAGGGGCGGCUUCAGAGAAGAACGCCCCAUCGCAGUCUGCGGCUGUGGCAGAUUCACAGUCGGCUGAGGAGGAGACACCCAGGAAGAAGCCCCGGCUUGGAUGGGGGCAAGGCUUGGCCAAAUAUGAGAAGCAGAAGGUGCCUGGUUCUUCAGAAUCUGCUGAACCUGUUGCUGAAGGGAGCCCAGACGGCGUUGAACAGAAGGAAGUUGUAGGCGCACCUGCACCUGCACUUUGUGCAUCUCCAGUGGCCGCACCAUCAUCUCCACCAGCUGCACCUGCACUUUGUGCAUCUCCAGUGGCGGCACCGGCGUUACCAUCAUUUGCACCUCCAUCUAGUUCUCCUGUGCCUGAAGAUAAAUCCUGUGAACUGACGGCAAAUACAGUCACAAUGUCCAGUAAAGAUAUCCCUGGGGCGGAGGUCCAGGCUUACAACGAUGAAAUCCCCAUUAAGUUAGGUCAACUUGAUGGUGAUCGCAUUGGCUCCCUUGCCAACGUCCUUGCUGAACUACUUCAACAUGAAGAUUCUUGUUCUGGGGAUUCGAGAAGACUGACAAAUAGUAGUAAGUUAUUGCUACUGAAAGAAAACAUAGCCAGGGAGCUUGAGAAGACUGAGCUUGAGAUUGAUUCAUUGGAAUGUGAACUUAAAUCAGUGAGUACUGAAUCAGAAAACAAGGCUCUUGAAGAUGCAGAAAAUCCUUCACCUUCUAGUGGGACAUCAAAAAUUCUAGCCAAGCCUGCGACAUCAAAAGUUCUAGCCAAGCCUGAGACAUCAAAAGUUCUAGCCAAGCCUGAAAUCUGUGGAACAUCAUCUUCCCCUAAAGAACAAGGGGUGCUCACUCCUUGCAAGCUUCCUGUGGAGCAGGAAGCUGAUGCUAACGGUGUAGACUUGAUGGAUGUUGUGACAGCUCCUGUUCGCAGUGUAACUGCAGUCUCAUCCGGAGAGAGUGUUGCAUGUCCUGGAGUUGUUGCUGAAGCUGAGGUUGCUGUAGCUGCAGAUGUGGCCCCAUUGAAGCCUUCUGAAGGAACUGGGUCUCAAAUUGAUGCCCACUGUCCGAGGCAGGAGCCUAGUUUGUCCCAUGAUAAUGUUAGUUCCAUGAAAGCAGAUGGCAGCAAUGCCUUAUCAACCAGGCAGUGCUCACACCGUAUCGACAGCCGUAAUUUAAUCCCUUCAAUUAUUGCUGUGAACAAUGAUAUAGCAAAAGAAUUUAAUGAACUGGUUUUCAAACCUUUGCCUGCUGGUCAACCAUGUCUUGGUUUAUCUAGUCAAAUGAAGAAUGACCUGAGUGUCAGAAAGAAGCUUGGCAUACAUAAAAAUAGACUAAGAUUCAAAGAGCAAGCACUUACCUUCAAGUUCAAGGUGCUGCGACACCUGUGGAAAGAGGAUGUGCGGCUCCUCUCUGUAAGAAAGCAGCGCCCAAAGUCUAAUAAACGCACUGAUCAGAGCAACCGUGCAUCACAGAGUGGAUCUCAGAGGCAACGCUCGUCUAUUCGCUCUCGAUUGGGCAUGCCUGCUGGUAAUCUGAGUACGUUUCCUACCACAGAAAUAUCAGAUGUUGCAAACAAGAUGUUUACAGAAUUUCAGUUUAAGCGCUGCAGAAAUUACUUGAAAAUGCCAGCAUUAAUUAUAGAUGAAAAAGAGAAAGAAAGUGCUAGCUUUGUCAGCAAGAAUGGUUUGAUUGAGGAUCCUGUUUCAGUUGAGAAGGAGCGGUCAGUGAUAAAUCCAUGGACUCAUGAAGAGAAGGAAGUUUUUAUGCAGAUGCUUGCUUCAUUUGGCAAGAAUUUCUCUAAAAUCUCCAAUUUUCUACAGCACAAGACAACGGCUGAUUGUGUUGAGUUCUACUACAAGCACCAUAAAUCUGACAGUUUCCGAGAAGUUAAGAAACUUCUGGAUCUUCGGCAGCAACAACCCACCGGCAAUUACCUAGGAACAAAAUCUGGAAAGAAAUGGAAUCCUGAGAAUGCUGCAUCUCUUGAUAUGCUUGGAAAUGCUGCAUCAGUCGUGGCUGCCCAUGGUCUUGAUUAUGCAAACAGAGUGGAGAGAGAUACUGAAAAGUCUAUCAUUCGGACUUCUUGCAAGUCUGAUGUUUCGGCUGUGGCCAAAGGAUCUUUGGAUAAGGAUGGCAUUGCUAAUGUAUCUCUGCACGAGAGGGAAUCUGUAGCUGCUGAUGUCUUGGCAGGCAUAUGUGGAACUCUCUCCCCUGAAGGAAUGGGCUCAUGCAUUACCAGUUCCGCUGAUCAUGGCCAAAAGAUAGGUGCCACAAGAAUGGAGUAUCUUAUAGCAACUCCAGAGGCAGACAAGAGCUUUGAUGAGGAAGACGAUCUCUCAGACCAGGAAUGCGAAGUUGAUUCAGUUGAUUGGAACGACAAUGAGAAGUCACUGUUCAUUGAGGCUCUGAAUAACCAUGGGAAGGAUUUUGCUCGAAUUUCUUCAUAUGUGAAGAGCAAGUCAUAUGAGCAGUGCAAGGUAUUUUUCAGCAAGGCUCGCAUUUCACUUGGUUUGGAUUUGAUCUAUCAGCAGACUACCGAUACCGGUUUGCCGACAGGUGAUGCCAGUGGAGGUAGGAGUGAUACUGACGAGGCAUGUGCUGCUGAGAUGGAUUCUCCUAUUUGUAGCACACAGUCUCCUGUGGAAAUGGAGAUGGAAGUUUGUCCUUCUGCUGAUAAAACCCUUCAGGGGCAUCUUCUAUCUGGCAUCACCUUUAAACAGUCAGAAACUGAUAGAUCAGAUGGGCCAGAAAUUGUGGACCUAACAAUUGAGGAAGGUGAGAUCAAGGCAGAUGAUACUAACAAUUGUAACAUUCCUGUUGAUCAUAGACAGUCAAGUGAAGCCACUCAUCAAUCAACACCUUCAUGUGCUCCUAUCGAUAUCAAUUCUUCUGAGAGCACAGGGAGUAUGGAGAACAGAGAGCACAGUAACCAAGUGAGUGUGCAUGGCAAUGGAGCCAUGGCCUCUUCAACUGAGCAGCCUGUGGGAGCACACCUGGAAAUCAGCUCCAGUCUGCACAUUGUUGAAGUUAUUGAGCCGAGCAAGGCGUCUGAAAAGAUUUGCAUUCAGGUAUCCACCAGGGAACAUGCUCCCGAGAGUGGUGCACCCAUCAGCGCUGGAAAUUUAACCACCCCGGUUUUCUUACCUGGAGUCAUCCAGUCGAGCAAUGUGUAUGAAGGGAUUUGCACCAAGGAAUCCAGUGUGGAAGGACCUUCGCAACAAGCACCCUUGAGUGCACACAUGAAGGCUGGAAAUUUGACCCUCUCUGUUUGCUUACCUGGGGAACACUGUAGUAAGGUAUCCAGUAACGAAGGACCUUCAAAACAUGCACCUGAGAGUGCACACGUGAAAGCUGGAAAUUCAACUCCCUCUGUUUGCUUACCUGGAGAAAGUGGCAGCAAGGAAAAUGUCGCCCAUUUCUCGGACAUGGCCGGUGUUUCCUGUAUCAGGCCUGCAUUUACUUUGAGUUAUCAGCAAAGCGUGCCAACAGAUCUGCUCCCAGCAAAGCCAAAAUCACAGGUCACCCCUCUUACUCCAAAGGAUUUGAUGCCUGUUCAGUUUAGUUCUGACCUUCCUGAUCCUACCUCAAUUCGUUUUGAGGGCAUAGCCUCCAUAACUUCACCAAAUUUUGGUGAUCAUGCCAACAGAGUCAGCAAUACUCCAGGGCCCAAGGAUAUGAGCAAAUUCCCAGUAUUUAAUGAACAAUCUCGGAGCCAGCAUGAUGUUCUGUUCCGCAAUAUUGAUGGAUACUUGCAGCACAGACGGAAUCACCAUCUGGCAGUUGAUAUACCCGCUUUUUCUGAUAGCACUGUAAGUGGCAGUGUGGGAAUUUCUCAUCCGGAUCAGUUCACAAUAACCAAAUACCAGAAUGGCAGGUCGGGCAGCUCAGGUCUCUCAAGCACAUCUGCUGGGUUUCUGAUGAAUGGGAGCAGCAAAGAAUUACGGGAAGGUCAGUUGAAGCCCUGUUCCCACAAGGCAAGCACUGAGAGUUGUGAUCAGGUGAAGCGCCCUGGUGAUGUAAAGUUAUUUGGGAAAAUUCUGAGCCAUCAAUCAUCCUUGCAAAGUUCUGGCUCAUCAUCGAAUGUAACUAGAAGCAAGCCUCCCCCGCCAACGACAGCAGCAGGAUUGUUGGGAAGUGGAAUGGAUCGCAUGGUUUAUUCAUCUAGGCCCACAAAUACUGCCCACUUUGGGCAGGACGAGCGAGUGGUGAGGAGCUACACUCACCUGGAUGGGAGCACAGUACAGCCCGAGUCGUCUUUGUUCAGGGUAGCGAAAUGCCAGAGAUCAUCAUUGGCCAGCGUGCCAUUUUACUCGGCUAAAAAUGGCACACUGGGUGUAUUAGCAGAGUACCAGCAGCCUUUGCGGCAGCAGCUUCCAUCAGAUCCGAAGCGGCUGGAAAGCUACGCUGAUCUCCAGAAGAGGAACGGAAUAGAGCUCAUCUCAGGGUUCCAGCAGCAGCAGCCCGGGAAAGCCGCGCGGCUCGGUGGCGCCGGGAUCCUUGUGAGCCCCGUGUCGGACCCGGUGGCGGCCCUCAAGGCGCAGUACGGCUCGAGCUCGAAGUUCCUGGGCAAGGACGCCGACCACCCCUGGAAAGACAUAGGAAACAGGAAAAUGCAAAUUGCUUACUUGGCUGUCAUGUUGGACAUGAGCAUCAUCGGCUGCGGACCGAGGGGCGGGCGCACGCCGCAUGCCAUGUGA